rnacentral:rRNA from 1 species
UACGUAGGGGGCUAGCGUUGUCCGGAAUCAUUGGGCGUAAAGAGCUCGUAGGCGGUUUGUCGCGUCUGCCGUGAAAGUCCGGGGCUCAACUCCGGAUCUGCGGUGGGUACGGGCAGACUAGAGUGAUGUAGGGGAGACUGGAAUUCCUGGUGUAGCGGUGAAAUGCGCAGAUAUCAGGAGGAACACCGAUGGCGAAGGCAGGUCUCUGGGCAUUAACUGACGCUGGAGGAAGCGGAAAGCCAUGGG